rnacentral:tRNA from 1 species
GCCAGUGUAGCGUAGUGGAUUGAGUGUUGGACUAUGACUCUGGAGACUAGGUUCAAUUCCCUGCUCAGCCA